rnacentral:rRNA from 1 species
AACGAACGCUGGCGGCAUGCCUAACACAUGCAAGUCGAACGAGACCUUCGGGUCUAGUGGCGCACGGGUGCGUAACGCGUGGGAACCUGCCCUUAGGUUCGGAAUAACUCCCCGAAAGGGGUGCUAAUACCGGAUAAUGUCUUCGGACCAAAGAUUUAUCGCCGUUGGAUGGGCCCGCGUUGGAUUAGCUAGUUGGUAGGGUAAAAGCCUACCAAGGCGACGAUCCAUAGCUGGUCUGAGAGGAUGAUCAGCCACACUGGGACUGAGACACGGCCCAGACUCCUACGGGAGGCAGCAGUGGGGAAUAUUGGACAAUGGGCGAAAGCCUGAUCCAGCAAUGCCGCGUGAGUGAUGAAGGCCGUAGGGUUGUAAAGCUCUUUUACCCGGGAUGAUAAUGACAGUACCGGGAGAAUAAGCACCGGCUAACUCCGUG